UACGGCCACAUCACGUUCAAACGUUCCCGUAGGAUCACCGAAGUUAAGCAUCGUCGAACCUGGUCAGUACCUGGGUGGGUGGCUGCUUGGGAAUAUCAAGUGCUGUAAG